CGGGACGGGUGAGUAACGCGUGGGUAACCGUGCCUUGUACAGGGGGAUAACAGUUGGAAACGGCUGCUAAUACCGCAUAAGCGCACGGCAUCGCAUGAUGCAGUGUGAAAAACUCCGGUGGUAUAAGAUGGACCCGCGUUGGAUUAGCUAGUUGGUGAGGUAACGGCCCACCAAGGCGACGAUCCAUAGCCGACCCGAGAGGGUGAACGGCCACAUUGGGACUGAGACACGGCCCAA
rnacentral:rRNA from 1 species